CGCUCUGACUCCAUUCACUUCAGAGUCUCACACAGCUAAGGACCUGUGCAGUCUGCUGCAAGACAGGCUCUGGAUAGCACAACACGGACAACUGCCUUGUGGUUUUCUGAGAGGAUUUUCUCGUUUGGAUUAUGUUCUUUUAGGGCUAUUAAAUACUAUCUUAGACAAAUAGUGGUGCGUCUUACUUCUGACUAAUUCUGAACAGACUGAUAAAUAUAUCAGUAAACUGGGCUGAAGUUUGAAUGCUAUUUGUUAGAUGGUGAAGGACAAGUGCAGUGCGCGUCAGACUUGUCCCUUGGGAUUGUCCCACUUGCGCCUGAGGAGCUAUGCCGAGCUGCCGCACAGGGUUUGUUCAAGAGGACGCAGUCCAGUGUGAAUAACGAGAGUCAACUUCCAGCCUCUUCAGCAUUUCACUGUUACAAGCAAGCGCAGCAGAGCCCGCUGAGCAGCUCUGACACCCAGGUUUCUCUCCCCGAGGGGAUGGUUGUGGAUCCUGUGGGGCCAGGAGCGAUUCUGCGGCUCCUACAGAAUAGCACCUUUUUCUUGUACGGGGUUAACUCUAAAUUAAAGGGAGAUGAGAGCCUCACUUUGUUUCCUGCUGUGGACGACGUACCUGCUGCUGGUCACCUCUGAGGAAGUGGAGUUUCCCCAGGAGCUGAUAGACAGGCUGUCCCACAGUGAAAUCCACAGCAUCAGCGACCUCCAGCGGCUACUGGACAUUGACUCCGUAGGUACGGGAAACGAUGUUAUUGAGGAGCCGAAGCACCACAAGCACCACAACCACCAUAAGAACUACUCCCGUCAUCCUGGUUACUACAAUGACCUGAAGAGCUCCCAGCUCCACAGCCGACGCAAGAGGAGCAUUGUAGAGGAAGCGGUCCCAGCGGUGUGUAAGACACGGACGGUGAUCUACGAGAUCCCCAGGAGCCAGGUGGAUCCCACGUCUGCCAACUUCCUGAUAUGGCCACCCUGUGUGGAGGUGAAGCGGUGCACGGGCUGCUGCAACACAAGCAACAUGCGUUGCCAUCCUUCCCGCAAGCACCACCGUACCGUUAAGGUAGCAAAGGUGGAGUAUGUGAGGAGGAGACCCAAGCUGAAAGAGGUCUUUGUGAGGUUAGAAGACCACCUGGAGUGUGUGUGCACGUCGCAACAUCAUGUGGUGGAGCACUCAGAUGCAGAAACAGGCCACCGUAGGGCUAAAGGUAAAAAAAGGAAACCUAAAAAACUAAGACCCAGCAAGGAUUUAUUGGCAACAUAAUAAAGUUGCACUCAUUACCCAAAGUCCACUGGCAAGCUGUGAAAGGAACAGUGGACGUGAGGUGAGACCAAUCAGAACAAGGGACUUCAGCGUGGGAGGGACCUAAGUAGAGGACGCCGCCAACAGGAGACCUGCGUUGUCCCCACUGCCAUGCAACCUUCGUUUAAAAAACUUUUCCGUAAAGAAGACUGAAAAAAUAGACAACAGACAAAAAUUUAAAAAAAGAUGCCAAAGGUGCUUUUUCUUAAAAACAGUAACCAGUGAUGAUGACUUCCUCUGUGGUAUGCCACCGACACAGAUAACAACACCCGCUGAAGCCGCUGAUCAAGAAGAAAAGAGAAAGAUGCCGUAGAGCUGCAGAAAGAUCGAAGGGAGAUGAUGAAAGGGAUUUGUGUUGAACAUUUUGACAGACUUUGUUUGAACAAGAUGCACAACAGAAAUGGCUAUCAAACAUUUGGAUCAAGCUUUGGUGGGAAUCUGAUGCUCAGACUCCAAAGCAGCGGUGGAUGACCUCCAACUGGGCAGCAUAAAAGUGCCCUGCCCUGUUUAAAUGACUCUUUCGUACACAAGAAGAAAGAAAGAUAGGUGACAUAGGAACAACAAUGGAAAGAGAAAGAGAAAGACAAAUGGAGGUGUUUUUUUUUUUAAAGACUCAAUGGAGUAUCAAACAUUUUGAGAUUUUGGAUGUUUGCUCAGAGUAAAAAGGAAAUCUUCUGAGAGAUCCCUGGUGGCCUCUGACUUUUUUUUUUUUUUUGCUAUGUACAGUUAAAUUUGAGAAGGAAGAUGCGCCGCUACUUACAAACUAUUUAUACGUGUGGACGUUUGCUUUCUGUCUCUUCCAGUACAAAAAGAAAAAAGAAACAACAGAAACAUGUUUUCAUGAUUUUUUUGGAGAAAUGCAAAAGUUGUGUUUGGUCCGGUUGUUUGUAACCAUCAGUAUCACAAUCUCAGUGUCAUUUUUUUUCUAGUCAAUGUUAUUCUUGUCAUCCAUGUUUCUUAUUAUAUUACAGUAUAUCUGAAUGAUGUCAAGUCUUGUAUAUGGUUUGGAUAUAUGUGUGCAAGGAGGAGAUGCGAGAGUCAGUACAGGAAAAUGCUUUAUUUUUGUUAUGAAAUAUAUUAAGCUUACUCAUAUCCAAGCAGGAAUUAUGUUUAUUUCUUUUGUUGUGGUUGAAUGCCUGUAUUUAAUCCAUUGGAAAAGAUGCAAAAUUGUAGGCAGUGGGUGGUAGCCCAUGAGCUGUGAAGAGGAGUUCUACAGUGGCUCAGACACGGCAACUUCAUAGUAAGUGUCCAUAGUGCAGCUUAUUCUACAGCCAUGAUAAACACUGGCCUGUCCUUUAUCUAACAAGUCACAUUUAACACAAAAAUUCAAACAGCACAUUAAAGUGUGUUCAUGCCAACCAUGAAAGAAAUGUUAGAACUCUUGUGUGCAUGUGGGCUUGUAUGAGAUGGGAUAGACAGGGCGUGUGUUUGUGCUCACACACAGUUUCUCUCCAACAUGAGGCUAUUUUUCACCCAUAUCACAGUAACAUUGAUAAGGAAGAUGCCUGCUUCACAAGCACAAAUUGUGUGCCUGCAAAGAGCAAAGUCCGCCUUAAAGAGUGAACAAGCAAGCAAAAUCGACAAGUGCAUGAAUGGAGUCCUUGUCUGGCCAGACCUUACUCUUCUGUCGACAAGAGAACCAUUCUGUGAUCACUCCACCCUGCGAAGGUGCUCGCACCUUAUGCAGCUUCAUGCCAUCAGGACAGAUGGUGAUGAUGGGUGUGCCAAGGUGGCCUGAAAACAGUGCAGUGCUGGCCUGGACCUGAACAAUGACUUCCUGAACAGUUCCUGUAAGGGUGAUGAAUGUGUAACCAGGCCAACAUUACAAGUACAAAACACUCAUUUUGUGUUCAGAUGAGGGAAGUUUUGGUAGAGAGAGACAGUUGGAGGUGAAAGAGUGAGUCACUGUGAAGUGAGUCAGGCGAAAAUCGAAACAGGAAAAGUCUGACUGAAACAUGGCUGUAUCGGCUACUGCUGAGUUGUGGACAUCAGAUCACGCGCAGCCCAGCUGUGAAUAAAUUAACCAUCAGUUGAUUGGUGCUAUAUUUAUAAAGCUGACGUUUCAUCACUGUUCACAUUUACAUUUACAUCAAUGUAAGAUGCGUGUUCUCAGUAAACCAGGGACCUUACACUUAGAGCUAUUUGAUUAAGGAAAAUGCCAUUACGCUAUCACCAAGCCUUUAUUAUCUUUCGUUUGGGCUUCCAUUGGAUAAAGACAGCAAUAAUCAUAAUUUAUAUAUUUAUGUUUUCAACAAUAAACAUAUUUCUGCUCAUGAAAA